CAAAGAAUGAAAAUAUAUUUCAGAAACAUUUAUUUUGAACACACACACACACACACAAAUUUUAGUUUUAAUUUGCUAUUUUCUUUAAAGGUGUCAAUAAAGACACAAGGAUAUUAAAUUAAGAAAUAACUUACAGAAUUAUUCAAUAAGCCAUCAAUUGUCAGUUAUGUUUCCAGCUGUCCUUGUGGCUUAGAUUGUGCUAUUUUCUGUUGAAUUCCCC